GGUGUUGUAGCUCAGGGGUAGAGCGCUUGCCUAGCAUGUGGGACACUGGGUUCAAUCCUCAGCACCACAU
rnacentral:tRNA from 1 species